UUGAACUGUACAUGACAGGUGUAGAGAUACACCCUUCUUCGGGCAUGUAUAGAGGUGCUGCAUGGUUGUCGUCAGCUCGUGUCGUGAGAUGUUGGGUUAAGUCCCGCAACGAGCGCAACCCUUACUCCUUGUUGCCAUCAGGUAAUGCUGAGCACUCUAGGGGAACUGCCGGUGACAAACCGGAGGAAGGUGGGGAUGACGUCAAAUCAUCACGGCCCUUAUGUCCAGGGCUACACACGUGCUACAAUGGCCGGUACAAUGAGAAGCAAGACUGCGAAGUGGAGCAAAUCUCAAAAAACCGGUCUCAGUUCGGAUCGGAGUCUGCAACUCGACUCCGUGAAGUUGGAAUCGCUAGUAAUCGUGGAUCAGCACGCCACGGUGAAUACGUUCCCGGGCCUU
rnacentral:rRNA from 1 species